rnacentral:rRNA from 1 species
UACGGAGGGUGCGGGCGUUAAUCGGAAUUACUGGGCGUAAAGCGUGCGCAGGCGGCCUCUUAAGUCAGAUGUGAAAUCCCCGGGCUUAACCUGGGAACUGCGUUUGAAACUGGGAGGCUAGAGUGUGGAAGAGGGGGGUGGAAUUCCAGGUGUAGCAGUGAAAUGCGUAGAGAUCUGGAGGAACACCGAUGGCGAAGGCAGCCCCCUGGGCUGACACUGACGCUCAUGCACGAAAGCGUGGGGAGCAAACAGG